GACGAACGCUGGCGGCGUGCUUAACACAUGCAAGUCGAACGGAAAGGCCCUGCUUUUGUGGGGCGCUCGAGUGGCGAACGGGUGAGAAACACGUGAGUAACCUGCCCUUGACUUUGGGAUCACUUCAAGAAACUGGGGCUAAUAACGGAUAGGUGCCCCUGCUGCAUGGUGGGGGUUGGAUAGUUCCGGCGGUUGGGGAUGGACUCUCGGCUUAUUAGCUUGUUGGUGGGGUAGUGGCUGACCAAGGCUGUGACGGGUCGCCGGCCGGAGGGGUGACCGACCACAUAGGGGCGGAGAGAGGGCCCGGACUCAUACUGGCGGCAGCAGGGGGGAAUAAUGCACGAGGGACGGAAGCCUGAUGCAGCAACGCCGCGUGCGUGAUGGCUGCCUUCGUGUGGGAAACCGCUUUCGCCUGUGACGGAGCGUGAGGGACGGUAAUGGGUGAAGAAGCACCGGCUAACUACGUG
rnacentral:rRNA from 1 species